AAUAUUGUUAAAGUCUUAGCAACCGAGUACAAUGGUCGUAACUAUAAGAGAUAAUUGUUUGCUUUACUUCUUUAUUUACUGUUUUAUGUUUUAG